rnacentral:rRNA from 1 species
GACGAACGCUGGCGGCGUGCUUAACACAUGCAAGUCGAACGGAAAGACCAUGCUUUUGUGGGGUGCUCGUGUGGCGAACGGGUGAGUAUCACGUGAGUAUCCUGCCCUUAUAUUUGGGAUAUAUUCACGGAACUGGGGCUAUUACCGCAUAGGAUCUCUUGCUCCAUGGUGGGGGUUGGAAAGUUUCGGCGGUGGGGGAUGGAAUCGCGGCUUCUCGGCUUGUUGGUUGGGUAGUUGCAUACCAAGGUUUUGACGGGUAGCCGGCCUGGGAGGGUGGACGGCCACCAUGGGACUGCGGUACGGCGCAGACGCCUACGGGACGCAGCAGUGGAGAACAUUGCACAGUGGGGCGGAGCCUGUUGUGACGCCCCCGCGUGCGGGAUGACCGCUUUCGGGUUGUAAACCGAUUUGGCCUGUGACGAAGCGAGAGUGACGGUAACGGGUAAAAAAGCACCGGCUAACUACGUG